CUCCGCGGCGCUGCCUGGGCCCCUGCGGCGGGCAGCGGCGUUCGGGGUGGCUUGGGGGCUUCGCGGUGAAUAGUGCUUUGUUCGGGCUGAAACGGUAACGAAUAUCCUGCGAUUGCCCUUGCCAAAUAGUGUGGUACCUCUCUGGAGAGUUAAACCUUCUUCUUACAGUUGUCUCUGAAGAAGUUUCUGAACUGACACUACCCAUGCCUUAAAAAAAAGAGUAAAUUGAGGAAGAUUUUCCUGGUUCAGAGCAGUUUAAUAAGGUUUGAGGAUUCUUCCUGUGGGUCUGCUCCGCUUCUGCUGCAUGAGGAUGAGCCUAGAUUUUUCCAGAGGCAGCAGAACUAAAAUGUA